CCGUGCUUCCUUACUUCCCAUA
rnacentral:miRNA from 5 species